GGCAAAGUCAGGUGUGGAAAGCAGCCUGAGCUGCGGCGAUGGUGGCAGCAGCGGCAGAGACCAGUAGCGCCUGGAUCUGAGACCCAAAGGGAAUGUGGGGCGAUGGUGACGGCGGCGACCUGGUGACAGCGCGAGAGGUACUAAGUGUAACAUGUGUGCGUGAAUAUAAGCUAGUCGUUCUUGGCUCAGGAGGUGUUGUGAAGUUGGCUCUGACUGUACAGUUCAAGGAAUUUUUGUUGAAAAAUAUGAUCCUAUGAUAGAAGAUUCUUAUAGAAAGCAAGUUGAAGGAGAUGCACAGCAGUGUAUGCUUGAAAUCCUGGAUACUGCAGGAACGGAGCAGUUUACAGCCAUGAGAGAUCUGUACAUGAAGAACAGACAAGGCUUUGUGUUGGUUUACUCCAUCACAGCACAGUCGACAUUUAAUGACUUACAGGAUCUAAGAGAGAAGAUUCUUUGGGUUAAAGACACUGACAAUGUUCCAGAGAUUCUGCUUGGUAAUAAAUGCGACUUGGAAGGUGAAAGCGUUGUAGGAAAGGAACAAGGUCAGAACCUAGCAAGACAGUGGAACAACUGCAUUCUUAGAAUCCUCUGCAAAGUCCAAAAUAAAUGUUAAUGAGAUCUUUUAUGACCUAGUGUGGCAAAUUAACAGAAAAACCCUGGUGCCUGGAAAGGCCCGCAGAAAGUCAUCAUGUCAGCUGCUUUAAUGUACUGAAUACAUUGUAGCUCUGAGCCAGGUCUGAAGAACUGUUGCCCAAUUCAACAGUGCCAGCAUUCCAACUUUGUUAAACCUACCAACAUCUUAAAUGGACUUUCCCGCGGUGGUACCCUGUAAGAGGCGGAUGAAAGCUACUCCAUCAGUUUGCACAUUCUAAUCACUUUCCAGUAUCACGAGAGGUUUUUACUUAUAUGAUAGUUCUAGAGUAUGCAGCUGGUAAAACCAGAGGCUACAUCCAGUAUUACUGCUAAGAGACAUUCUUCAUCCACCAAUGUUGUACAUGUAUGAAAAUGGUGUACUGUAUACUUUAGCACACCCAUACUUUGUAUUGGAGAGUACAAUAAUGUAAAUCCUAAAAGCACCACUAUUUUAGCAUAAUAAAAGAAAGUCCAAAGAGCUCCUAUAUAGACUACUCCAGAUAACUUUGCUUCUUUGAUACUCGUAGCUUACUGUAAUUUUAUUAAAUUCAAGGUCAUUAUCAUUGUAUUAUACAAGAUAAGCGCUUUGAUUAACACAGCUAUAUAGGGUUUUUUUAUUUU
rnacentral:lncRNA from 1 species